rnacentral:rRNA from 1 species
UUACAAUGGAGAGUUUGAUCCUGGCUCAGGAUGAACGCUAGCGGCAGGCCUAAUACAUGCAAGUCGAACGGUGUAGCAAUACAUAGUGGC